rnacentral:lncRNA from 1 species
AGAUUCAGAUGCUUGCAAGUUGAAUCCUUGGUGGAAAACAUGGCUGAACUCCAAUAAAAAAAGAUUUAACAAUUUUGUAAACAUUGACACUGGAAAUGAUAAAAGUAAGUGCAUGGGUAACAACAUAUGUGAGAAUUGCAAAAUGCCCCAAAAAUCUGUUUAAACAAAACUGUCAUGCAAGCUAUACAUCUAAAAUAAAUGGGGACUUAAUAUACGUAUACUAAUCUAGGGGAUAAAAUGAAGUUAAGGUAUCCUUUCAGUAUUGUUUUCAAGAAAAAUCCCUUCAUAGCUUCACACCAGAUUCGUUGAGCUACCUCAAGAGGUCUAAAAAAUUGCCACGACCAGAAGACUAACAGUGAUAAUCUGAACCACCGAGCUAAGCUUACAUGCCAGAUCGCUCAAUCCUGUUGAAGGCAAAUUAAGGAGUUAAUUGCAUUUUAGAUUCAAAUACAAUAGACAGAAAUGUAAGACGCAUCACUAUUAUGUGGAUUAAUAAGUUAAUGAAUACAUGUUAGAAUUGCAAGAUGAUGAUGUUGUUCAUACCAAAUAGUAUCCAUCGCUACUCAUGUGUCUAUGAGUUACGGAUCAUACAGGAAGAUACAAUAUCUUGGUAGUUCGUGUAAUGCAUAAAGGUAAGUUCAGGUAUGAUUCUUUCUUGGUGAUUGUAUCCCCAUCAAGUCAAGUUGGUCCUUGUUGAAGCUAGCUGCACCAAGCGUCGCUCUAUUACAAGUACACAUAAAGUAGAAGGAUUUAGAUUCUCUACUUUAUUGUCUAAAACUAAGAAGGAAUAAUAAAAAUAAUAUUUGAUCAAAGCUGUUGGAACUUCUCUAGCAAAUUUCGAUGAAGAUUAUCUACUGUUAUUGUCUCAUACCAAGAAGGAAUAAUGAAAAUAAUAUUUGAUCAAGGCUGUUGCAACACCUCUAGCAAAUUUCCGUGAAGUUCUGCUAAGCUGGUAUAACAUGAAAUCUUACAUAUAUGUAUUAUAACAGCCAACCAUUAAUGCACAUCUUCAGGAGGCGUAGAGUAUAGUACCUGUGACCGCGACAACAAUCUUUUUUUGUUGGAACUAAUUUUCUUAUGGGACCGGCCAAAACUUUUGCCGCGACCUGGCGACAGCGAGCCAUUGUUUUUGCUGGAACGAGUUUUUUUGCUGUAAACAUACAUUUGUUUUGUUGGAAGAAAAUAUAAAUAGAGCAUUAACUAAUAGCAAGGCUAUUGGAUCUUGACACCACAAUAGUCAAUUAAAUAAGUAGAAAUUCAGCUAUUUAAAAACAGAAGCAUGUUCUGUUGAUCAAAUCAGUAGGGUUUUUUUAACUGAAAAGGCCUUUCCAUUAAGCAAAAAACUUAGAUAAAUCAUUAUUCAUGCACCUUGCCAAUUAGCACAAAUAUAGAUGCAAAUUACCGCAGAGAAUUAGAAGACCCAAAAAAACUAACCCACACACGGUGCACUCAUACAUAAGAGAAGACUCAAGCAGACGAUCAAGCCAUGCAAUUUAAGUUAUUAAAAUACUAAUUAGUUAUUGUAUCUAGACGGACAAUCUUAUGUAAAAAGGUUUAAAUGAUGAGUAGUUUCAAGGAGUAUAUACAUAUUUAUUUUUUCAAAUGGGAUAUAUACAACUAUUCUCAGAGUAUAUACCUAUGAUACUGGCAAUAACGAUCAGUGUAUCCUCAUUGUCCGAAAGGAGUAUAUGGUGUGUUUUCAAUUGAUAGUAUACUACUUUUCGCAAUGGGGUAUAGAAGAGAG